ensembl:lncRNA
AUUUGGAAGUCAGAACCGGAACUCCUCACUGAGCUAAGUAGGGUGAUACGGAGUUUGAAGUGUGCUAUUCGGUUUUCUGAUAUAUACCCAGAUGGUCUAACAGUUUGACUCUGGAGUCAGCGGUGGUAAUGGCAGAUUUCAAAUCUCUUCGUUUCCCGUGUUCUUGGACUACUCCUGUGGUGAUGUGAUCCUGCGUUCAGAAGUUUGGACAGUGGCCUCCUGUUUCCCCCGCUUUCUGACUGGCAGAUGUCUCUGGAUUGGCUAGAACACCUGCAGGUGUCUCCUAUGGCUGGCGGCUGGAAUCUGGCUUUCAUCAGUGCUAAAGACCCAACCUCAGGAAGCCCUGCAAAAAGAAUCAGGAGAUGGAUUUACAAAUGAGCUGAAGAGGUUUCAGCCAUACUACCUGUGAUGUACUGUUUCUCCAUCUUUGGAUGCAGAAUAGCCGUUCAGGCCAUUAAGAAAGUAACAUGCAUGCAUGCACACACAUGAACUUCAACUGACAGCACAAUACAGCAGGAGGGAAGCAGGGACCCAUGAAGGACCUAUUUCAUGAACAUAAAUGGUCACCUACCAUUUGUCCCAACUUUAUGAAGUUGUCACAAGCCCCUCUCUUCCCCACUUUACUCAAGUUUACAUGAGAGGAGUCACGGCACAGACGAUCUGAAAUGCUACCUGCCUCCUCUGCUUCAGUUUACCAAAGAAAGACCUUGGACAGGCUUGAACCAGACACCUCGCUAGUCUGUGAGCCCCACUGUGACAGCCACGUGAUUCCUAAGCACAUCACCACUCCUCCUUAGGACAACAAUGAUUACUUUCCAUAAAUAAAUUAUUAUGUUUCGGCAUUAAGAUGGAAGGCUUCCAAUAAGUAACUCUACUGGGUUCCCAAAACUCUGAGCUUUUACUGUGGUUAUACUCAUUUCACAGAGAUAACAUUGAAGCUUACGACUUUAAUAACCUAUUCAGAUCUACCGAGGCAGUUGAUAAUUAGCAGAAGGGAGAUGCAAACCUAAGCCUUCCUGAACUGUGACCCCUUGUCUGGACCAAGGAUGUCAAUGACAUGUGUGUUUCUGAGGAUACUAGGCUGUUAAGAAAGAAGGAGAUGGAUAAAAGAUGUUUAAGAGAAAGGGGCUUGGCCAGUUUUCUUACACUUCAUACAAUGAACCAUGCUGAGUUCACAGUCUGCUUCAAGUCUCUUUUCCCUGAGAUGAGGGCAGAUCAAACCACAAUAUCCCCCAUUCAUUCAUUCAUGACUUGAGUUAGACAAAUCUGGGUCUGUUCAAUGAAAAUACAAGAUUAAAUAAGACCUGGUUUCUACUCUGAGUAAGCUCACCAUCUGAUGAGGGGGAAAAGACUUAUAAAUUAAUUAUUAGACUCCAUAUAAUAAAUGCUCCCUGGUGGAUGGAAAUACUGUGGAGUCAAGGGGAAGAACAACUGGGGGGGAAAAAAGAGCCUGAAGCAACAGAAAGAGCUUGGAACCAACUUUGAAAGACAGCAAAACAACUGGAUGUGAUUCUUAUCUCUGUGACCUUGAACCAGUUGAAAUGCUUUGAGCUGUACCGUUUUUUUUGUGCAGGAAAACAGCGUCAAUUGAACAGCGUGACCAACCCUGAAAGAACUGCACAGGGGAUUAAAUGGGUUAACAUAAGCGAAAACAUUGCCAUUCAUCAGCAAAAUGGCCAAGCUGGAAAAUACAGAUGAACCGAGUGUGUAGAGGCAGAAAGGCAAUGCAAAGAGUUCUGUGAUAUGGGAUUAUGUAGCAGUGUAAUAAUAUAGAUGUGGCUGCUACAGAAAAUGCGCUGUCUUGGGACUUUGAAAUCACCAGCCAUGCUUCAAGGGAACAAAUCUCUCCAUAUGGUUUUGAGGAGAACACACAAAAAAAAUAUUUUCCAGCCACUUUCAGAUAUAAUUCCUCCUUAGGUAGGAGGGAAAAGAGGAUAACUAUCCAUCAGAUCUCAGAGAAAUCGAUCAACUCGCACGUGUCUGCCGAUCCGGCCAUGUGCCCAUCACUAUGUUUGUUUCUGUGCAGAACGUCACACGAGGUAGCUGGGGAAGAAAGAACCAUGCACACUGAAUAAUUAACAGCCUUCGUGGAGGAGGUGGCAAGACCUUAAAGGAAGGCUAAGAUUCAAAGGAGAGGGUGAGGAAGAUGAAUGAAGGGGAAGGGAGGAGCAGGUGAAAGGCGUGAUAAAGACAAUGAAGGAAAGGUGAAGAGUGAGAAGAGAGAACAGGAACCGCACAUAGAAACAGUAUUAGAGAGAGAAGGACCCAAGUGGGCCUGAGCCUGAAAGGCUACAUGGAGGCUAAACAUCUGGAUGAAGCCAAAUUAUGAUCUAGAUUGAGGAAUCUGGGUCUGACGCUUGUGUGACUUGGUCAGUGACAGGGCAUUGCCACAGAAGAAGGAAUGCAAUCUGACUGACAAUUGGGGGAAACAACAAACAGGAAAUAGUUCUGAUCAGACCGUGGCAUCUAAAAAAGCUAAAGAAGGUUACUGAAGGAAUACAUUUUGUGAGUUAAAAGUGGAAGAUCCCUGGAGACACUAAGUCUCAAGCAAGAAAGUCACUCAGGAGGCUGGUGUGUACCAUCCAGGAAGGAAUGUGGUGGCUGGUGGCUGUCAGGGAUGGAUGGAGAGAUCAGCCAGAGAGAGGCACACCUUCAUCAAGUCUCAGCGGCUGAGGGACACUGGCUUGCUUGCCCCCAUGGUAGGCAAGAUCAGAACCGACCUUCAGGUUUUGGAGUGACAGUUGAGAGGUGCGAUUUGGUGAAGCAAGACAGCUGAAGAGAAAUAGUGCCCACACAAAUGUUAGGAAUCGCCUCAGAGGACCUGGGACGGCUGAGAAUCUAAGAGUUACUUCUGCCUCAAGGGUCUCCCGCGUUUUUGUAAUGCCAAGGACAGAAAAGGACAAGAGAGUGCUACCGUCCCAGCCCCAGGCAUUGUGCCUGCGGUGGAGGUCUCUGCCCAAGGCGGACGCCAGGGGUCAGUGCAGGCCCAGCUUCCCCAGCUGGAGCAUCGCCGAGGUCUCCUGCCUUCAGCGAGUGUUCAUUACGGGAAAGAAUUUAAGAGAACUCUAAAUGGCAGAUUCGUUUAUGAUAGCAGCAUUUACAGGCAGUUGUAAUUAUAGUGUAUGGAAAACAAUUAUUCCCUCCUAAAAUUGCUCUUUUAAUUUUCUCUUAUUUGUCCCACAGUGAAUGUUAAAUAAGCCUCAUUGCCUUGCAGACAGCCUCCGAUAUGUGCACAGAGAGAAGCUCCUAAGCACACACCACACUGUAACCUGCACACGCGCACACUCAUUCCUAGUAUACAUGAUAGGCAAGCUCUGAAAAGCACACGGGUCCAGUCAAUAGCUUCCCACUACAGCCCCAUCCCAAGCACAGUUCAGGGAUGCCAUGUGGGAAACUCCUCCCCAUCCAUCAGAACAGGCCUCAGGAGGCACUACUCAGUGAACCCUUCCUCUCCCUCCUGAGUCCCAGACAAGUCUUUGCAGCUCCAAACUGUAUUGCACCGUGUUUCUGGGCAGACAUCUUCACCUCACAAACUUUCAUCCACUCCUUUGUCUACACUCCUCUCUUUACAUAUAAGAUUCUUAAGCCACAAAGUUCUUGCUUUUUUUUUUUUUUUUUUUAUCACCAGUCUCCUAACACUUGGCCAGUGGGAAAGCCUGUUACUGGUCCCUGUCUCUGCCGAUGGCUCAAGAUAGUGUGCUCCCGAAGGAAGCCACAAAUUGAAUAUCUUCCCAAAAUGUUAGUUUGCAAGGAGCUGUGUUUUCACUUCCAACCUCUACCAAGGAGAGUAGAAAACCAGUCAAGGUCCAGGGCUGAAUGCAUCUUUGUGGAGACUUCAGUCACAUUGUGGAACCCUGACCAAAAUGGAUCCUAUUUCAAAGUGUCUUGGACCUUAGUGAGGUUUCAAAGACUUGGGGCUCAACAGAGGUCUCCAAUCGUCCUUGAGGAGAAAACAAAUGUCUUUAAACUCAGACUGUGGGACAGAGAGGUGGGAAUGGGAAACAAAACACAUCUUCACAGUCAAGGACCAAUGACCCUUAUUAAAUGGAUUAGGCGGUGACAUUACAUGGGUUCUCGGGCCAUUUUAGAGUGGUUAAUGUUGGCGGAUGGAGGCCAAGCUCUAUUAAGGAAGGAUGUGGAAGUCUGUCCCCCUGAUUUAAAAGUUUGCAUUGGAGGAAGGAUGUUUGCAAUUUUCGUGAAGUCUUACUGUUAAUUGGUUGUCUUGGCCUUGAAAUGGUCUUGAUUGUUAAGUAGUUCUCUCUUUUCACACAAGGAGAGAGAAAGCAGGAGGAAGGAAUUUCAUGUGAGGGACAGAAAAAAAUGAAAAUGAUACUGAUGCCAAGUGAACCGUCUGUUGGAUGUUUGAUGUUGGCAGGCUGGACUCUUCUCUAUUCAUCCAUGUUCUCUCUGUCUUGGCUCAAAUGCUUAAGGGACUUCUGAAUCUCUUUGUUUCCUGUUUCUACCACAAAUGUAUAAAAUAGUCCCAAGAAUGCCUGCCAUUUCAUAUCCAAGUCUUUUUUUUUUUUUUCUUGUUUGUGCUGCUAUAACAAAGUACCAUAGACUCAGUAGCUCACAUACAAUAAAAAGUUUAUUUCUCACAGUUCUGGAAGCUGAGAUAUCUGACAUCAACUACCACAUUAGUUGUCUGGCUCCUUAGAGACAGUGCUUUUCACUUGUUCUCACAGGCAGGGAGAUCAGCAAACUUCCUGGCACCUCGUUUAGAAGGGUACUGUCAACUGUCAUUGACCUGUGCAAAUCUGUCUGCAAGUGCUGAGAUUUGAGGACCUUAAGGAAUGGGGUGGACUACAGUUUAAUGCUUUACUUCAGUUUCAGUGUACUUCUAAACAUGACUGUAACAAAGAAAGCAACAAUCCAGGGAAGGUUGCUUGAGUUUGGAAAAAGAUGAAAGUAAACGUCAGUAAGCACAUACUAAAUAUUAACAGAGCAGCCCUUCCCGGAACUUUCUCAGGACAGACCAAUUUGAACACAAUGCCUGGCAUAGACUAUAGAAGGCCAUGUCCAGAUACAGGAUACACUGAGGGCAGCACUCAGGACAUCCUUUUCGCAAGACUGAGCUCUAUAUGUAAGUUCCUACAGGCACUAAUCCCAUUUAUGAGGGCCUUGCCCUCAUGACACAAUCUCUCCAAAUAUUGUCUGAUUGGUGAUUAGGAUUCAACACAGGAAUGUGUGGGCAUGGAGCUGAGGAAAGAAUAGUCAUUCCCAUCAUUGUACCCAGUGCUCAUAAGGUUGCAGAAUACAGGCCUGAGUUUUCAUCCUCCAUCUGUCUUAAAAGUCCCAUGAAGAAAACCAAAG